ensembl:lncRNA
CUAAAAGAACUAGAAAAAGAAGAAACAAAGCCCAAAGCCAGUAGAAGGAAGGAAAUAAUUAAAAAAUCAGUGCAGAAAUAAAUGAAAUAGAGAUUAAAAAGACGAGAGAAAGGAUCAAUGAAACUAAGAGCUACUUCUUUGAAGAGAUAAAUAAAAUUGACAAACUCUUAGUUACUCAUUAAAAAAAAGAGAGAAGACUCAAAUAAAUAAAAUCAGAAAUGAAGGAGGAGAAAUUACAAUGGACAUGAUAGAAAUAUCAAGGAUUAUAAGAGAACACUAUUGAAAGCUAUAUGUCAACAAUUUGGAUAAUCUAGAAGAAAUGAAUAAAUUCUUAGAAUCAUAUAACCCUCCAAAACUGAAUCAAGAGGAAAUGAAGAAUCUGAAUAGACCAAUCACAAGUAAAAAGAUUGAAAUAGUAAACAUAAGCCUUCCCAAAAACAAAAGUCCAGAGCCAGACCACUUCCCUGGUGAAUUCUACCAAACAUUCAAAGAAGAUUUAAUACCUGUCCUCCUCAAACUAUUCUAAAAAUUGAAGAGGCCAAGACACUUUCUAACUCAUUUUAUCAGGCCAAAAUUACCCAAAUACCAAACUCAGACAAGAACAACACAAAAAAAUGAAAAUUACAGGCCAAAGUCACUGAUAAACAUAGAUGUAAAAACCCUCAACAAAAUAUUAGCAAAUUGAAUAAAACAUACAUUAAAAGGAUCAUACACCACAAUCAAGUGGGAUUUAUUCCAGAGAUGCAGGGAUGGUUCAACAUCUGCAAAUCAAUCAAUGAGAUACACCACAUUAACAAAAUCAAGAAAGCUUUAAUUUCCUCAUUUUUAAACUGCAACAAUACUAACACCUUUCUCAUGGAUUUGUUGUUGAUACAAAGAAAUAAAAUAUGAAGGCACCUAUGUAACAGAGUAUGUCUCAUCAAACUGAUAAAUUUGCUGUUUCCACAUUGUUUUUACUUAAUAAACCUUGCCGCAAUCUAGUGUAAGCUGAGGCACACUCAUACCUGAUAUCUCACUUGGGAGUCUCUGUUCACUGCUCAUUCUUGAGCUUUAUUCCUAGAAAACGCCAAAAACGUUGGUAAAAUGGACUUGCAUGACAGUUAGACCUGUUUCUUGAUGAGGACGCUGGGAACAACUCAAUGGAAGAUUUUUAUUCAACUCCUCUCCUCCAGUGGACAAAUGCCCUAGACCCUGAGGUCAUGUCAUGUCAUGGAAGACAACACUACAAUAAAAAGGAACCACUACUAAUAUAUGCAAUAAACUGGAUGGAUCUCAAGGGCAUUAUCCUGAGUGAAAAAACUAAUCUAAAAAUGUUGCUCCUGUGUGAUUCCAUUUAUAUUACAGUCUUGAAAUGGCAAAAUUAUAGAGAUGGAGAACAUAUUAGUGGAUUCCAAGAAUGAGGGAUGGUGGAGGAAAAAGCAUUGGGUGUGUCUAUAAAGGGAUAGCAUGAGAGAGAUCUUUGUGGUGAUGGAAUAGUUCUGUAUCUUAACUAGGGUGUUGGUUACACAGAUAUACAUAUGUGAUAAGAUGAUGUAGAACUAUACACACACAUUGUAUCAAUGACAGUCUUCUGAUUGUAAUAUUGUACUAUGGCUAUGUAACAUGUAAACAUUGAGGAAACUGGUUAAAGUGUAUGUGAGGCUCCUUUCUAUGAUUUUUGCUACUUCCUGUGAGUCUAUAAUUAUUUUAAAAUUAAAAGAGAAAAAUACUAGAUGUUGCUGAGAGUAGAGACCAAUUAGAAGUUUCAAACUGUCAGUAACUAGUUAACUAAACCUAUACCUGUCCCAUGAUCUAGAAAUCCCAGUCUUAGCUUUAUAUCCAAGAGAAGUGAAUGCUUAUGUCCACCAAAGAUGUAUCCAAGAAUGUUUAGGGUAGGCUUACUCAUAAAAGCCAAAAACUAGAAAGAAUCCAUCAACUGGAGAAUAAAUAAAUAAAAUGUAGUGGACUCAAACAAUGGGUUAUGGGGUGGCAAUAAAAACAAUCAAACUACUAAUAUAUGCAACAACUUGGAUAAAUCUCACAGCCAUGGUGUUGGGAGAAAGAAGCCAGAUACAAAGGAAUACAUUCUGUAUGUAGAGAAGUCAGAAUAAUGGUUACCUCUGGGAUGGUGGGAUUAACGAGCAAGAAGCAUAAGGACACUUUCUGGAAAUGUUCUACAUCUUAGACUGCAUGGUAGUUACACAAGUGUAUAUGAAUGUAACACUUUAUUAAACUGUACAUUUCAAUUUAUAUACCUCAUUUUAUGUAUUCUUUGCCUCAGUUAAAAAAUGGGGGGAAAAUGCAGAGGACUGAACAGUGGUGUAAAUCAUGACACAUCAAAGAAGACAAGAUUCCUAAACCGGGAUUCAGUUCCUCACGCCUUCAGUGGGACUAAAGGCUUCAGUUCUUCAUCGGCUGUUGGUAAGAGACCACCCUUGUUCCUUGCCAUGAGUCCUCUCCAACACAGCAAUUUGCUUCAUCGAAGUGUGCAAGUAAGAAAAGUCAGAGAAAGAGAGAAAGCAUGUAAGUAAGACGGAAGUCACAAUCUUUUUUAACCUAGUCCCAGAAGUAGCAUCCCAUCACGUUUGUCAUAUUCUAUUCAUCAGAAGCCAGUCACUAUGUCCAGCCAUACUCAAGGGGAAGGGAUCACACAAGGAUGGGAAUAACAAGGAAGUGGGGAUGCUUGGAGCCAUUGUAGAAGCUGCCUACCACACCCACGUACGCAGGCAUGGAAUCCCAGUAGACUCAGCCAUUUGGGAUAUAGUCACAAGAGCUACAGCCUACAAAAGAAGCAGCAAAGCAGAUAGGUCUUCCAAAGCCUUUGCCCUUUUUGACAAACAGAUUAAGUUACCCUAAAAUCCAUAAGGAAAAACAGCCAAAUUAACUUGAAAAAAUGGUAAGAAUUAAGCUUAUUGAUUUUACAAGUGCAGGGUUUCCCAAGAAAAGUUCAGUUGUAGUUAUUAGAGGUGAGAGAUUCAAGAUGAUAGGGAGAAAAGGAAUGCCAAAAGCUGAUACAUUGGACAGGGUUAGGUGGUGACAAUUGAAGAAUUGGCAGAGAUUCAUUCAAUUACCAAUGAUAUUGCUACCUGAGGCACUUCAUGUAGAGACAAAGAGAAACAUUACCAGAGGGCAUCAGGCCAGCAUAUGAUGUCCCUCUGUGAAGCCGGGUACCUGAGGGGUACUACAGAUAUUAAACCAAUAUGCUGUUUUUCCUGUUUAACUUGAGGGGUGACUCAGGGGUCUCAAGGAUUUGUGAGUUUGUUUUGCAGAAGAAACAGAAUGACUUUGCGGAGGUUGUGAUCACAGAAUGGUCAGCCCUCGGCAGCCAUUGAGGCCCAGAAGUCAGAUUGCCCAGGGGCUUAUCUAAAGUGACCCCUUUGUUUCCCUGAAAGUCCUCCUGCCAAGCCCCUUAGCUCUAUAAAACCCCCCUGCUUUCUGUUCUUGGGGAGGUAGAUUUGAGUGAACCCAGGCUCCCACCUACUCAUUUUGGACAAUGUGAAUAAGUCUUUGUCCAUCUCCAAGCACCGAUGUCUCACUGUUUGGCUCCCUGUGCAUCAGGCACAUGAACUUGAGAUUCAGAGGUUCGGUGUCAUCAGGGGAUCAAACCAUGAUAGUGUAAGACAGAGGAACUCCUUUGUAUGUCCUCUUGAAUGACAGCACAACAAACAGAUGGUGAGUAAGAGUGCCUACCCAGCAAGGCGUAUGCUCUCUGCACUGUUAAUAGAGUUCUCUGCCAUCAAGGAUAGUGGGAAAUAAAUUCGCAGGUAAGCUACAAUCUUGAUUUUAAUUUGGAGUUUUAUUUCAAUUGCUUCAUUGGCUGAAUCUUUCACCAGAAUUUCCAGGAAGGCAAUAAACUAGGAAGUGUGUGAGAUACAGGUAUAACCAAGAGCCUGCUCUGAAAGAGCACAGUCUUUAAGGAAAGAAAGCUAUGUUUCCAGCAGACCCCAAUACAAGGCACAAUGGUGACAAAUGCUGCACCUCAACAAAUACUGCAGCCCUGCUCCUCAAAGUAGGUCCAAGGUCCAGCAGCACAGGCACCCACUGGGAGUUUAUUAGAAAUGCAGAAUCUCAGCUCCGUUCCAGAACUACUGAGUCAGAAUCUGCAUGGUAACAAGAUCCCUGGGGGACCUGAUGCACAGUAAAAUCUGAGAAACACUGCUCUAAUGGAACUUCGAGAAGUUUUGAGAGAACCAUGGAGAGGGAGACUAAGGUCAACAAGAGAAAUUAGAGUAUUUCAUAGAGAAGGUGUCAUUUGAGCUGAAACUCAUGAGAUGCAUAUGAUUUCAACGUGAAGAAAAGACUUUUUUUAUGGGAAAAAAAGUCAAAGCAUUGACGAUAGUCUGGUGCGGGAAAGUGGACUGUUUGCUUGAGGAAAGAAAAAGGAACACACUGUUAAAUUGAAGCCAGAUUACAAAGGGCUUUGAGUACUUGCUAAGGCGUUUUUACUUGAUUCUGUUGGCAAUAGAGACACGCUGGGAAUUUCCAAGCAGAGCACAAUAGCAAUAAUUAUAUAGUGGUAGUGUGGAAGAUGUAUUGGCAUGAGGAAUGCCAACGACAUGCCAGUUGCGAGUGAUUAACAUAGAAAGCCACAGAGUUGGAAGCUAUACUUCAGGGAUGAGGUUAUGCAACCUUGAAAUUCUAGCGCCAUAGUAGGGAAAUAAAGAAGUAACAGAAGUCAGAGACAUUUCAGAAGUAGAAUCCAUAGCUCUUUCUUUUCUUUCCUUUUUUAGGAGGAAGAUUAGCCCUGAGCUAACAUCCAUGCACAUCUUCCUCAACUUUAUGUGUUGGACGCCUACCACAGCAUGGCUUGACAAGCGGCGCAUAGGUCCACGCUGGGAUCUAACUGGUGAAUCCUGGGCCACGGAAGCAGAAUACGUGAACUUAACCACCAUGCCACCAGGCCAGCCUGGGAAUCCACAGCUCUUGGUCCAAACCACCAACAUUCCAAGAAGUCAGUCAGGACAAAAAUAUCCUGUUUGUGAGGAAUGAUGAAACUGGACUUUGCUGAUGACCAAAUCUCAAGCCAUUCUAUGAAGUAUAAUCUUAGCCUUACCUCUUCUAACAUCAAUGGACUCUUCUUGAAUACAACUUACCUCAUCUUCCUCCCUUUUUCCCAUAAAAACUCUAAGCCCCUCUCCUAUAAUCAGGUAUAUUUGGAUUUAUAUCUGAAUCUGUUCUCCCUGAAUUGCAAUUCUUUGAUGCCAAAUAAACACUUUGC